rnacentral:rRNA from 1 species
UACGAAGGGGGCUAGCGUUGUUCGGAAUACUGGCGUAAAGCGCGCGCAGGCGGUCUUCCAAGUCAGAGGUGAAAUCCUGGAGCUCAACUCCAGAACUGCCUUUGAUACUGAGAGUCUUGAGUAUGACAGAGGUGAGUGGAACUGCGAGUGUAGAGGUGAAAUUCGUAGAUAUUCGCAAGAACACCAGUGGCGAAGGCGGCUCACUGGGUCAUUACUGACGCUGAGGCACGAAAGCGUGGGGAGCAAACAGG